rnacentral:rRNA from 1 species
GUGAGGAAUAUUGCGCAAUGGAGGCAACUCUGACGCAGCCAUGCCGCGUGCAGGAAGAAGGCGCUACGCGUUGUAAACUGCUUUUAACCGGGAAGAAACCCCAGGACGUGUCCUGGGUUGACGGUACCGGAGGAAUAAGCACCGGCUAACUUCGUGCCAGCAGCCGCGGUAAUACGAAGGGUGCAAGCGUUAUCCGGAUUCAUUGGGUUUAAAGGGUGCGUAGGCGGAGCGUUAAGUCAGUGGUGAAAUCCUGCAGCUUAACUGUAGACUUGCCAUUGAUACUGGCGCUCUUGAGUGCGCUUGAAGUGGGCGGAAUGUGCCAUGUAGCGGUGAAAUGCUUAGAUAUGGCACAGAACACCAAUUGCGAAGGCAGCUCACUAAGGCGAUACUGACGCUGAGGCACGAAAGCGUGGGGAUCGAACAGGAUUAGAUACCCUUGUAGUCC